GAUGAACGCUGGCGGCGUGCCUAAUACAUGCAAGUCGAGCGAACGGACGAGAAGCUUGCUUCUCUGAUGUUAGCGGCGGACGGGUGAGUAACACGUGGAUAACCUACCUAUAAGACUGGGAUAACUUCGGGAAACCGUAGCUAAUACCGGAUAAUAUUUUGAACCGCAUGGUUCAAAAGUGAAAGACGGUCUUGCUGUCACUGAUAGAUGGAUCCGCGCUGCAUUAGCUAGUUGGUAAGGUAACGGCUUACCAAGGCAACGAUGCAUAGCCGACCUGAGAGGGUGAUCGGCCACACUGGAACUGAGACACGGUCCAGACUCCUACGGGAGGCAGCAGUAGGGAAUCUUCCGCAAUGGGCGAAAGCCUGACGGAGCAACGCCGCGUGAGUGAUGAAGGUCUUCGGAUCGUAAAACUCUGUUAUUAGGGAAGAAAAUAUGUGUAAGUAACUGUGCACAUCUUGACGGUACCUAAGCAGAAAGCCACGGCUAACUACG
rnacentral:rRNA from 1 species